CAGCAGAACAAAUGGUGGUGACCAAAGU
rnacentral:piRNA from 1 species